UACGUAGGGCGCGAGCGUUGUCCGGAAUUAUUGGGCGUAAAGAGCUCGUAGGUGGCUUGUUGCGUCUGCCGUGAAAGCCCGUGGCUUAACUACGGGUCUGCGGUGGAUACGGGCAGGCUAGAGGCUGGUAGGGGCAAGCGGAAUUCCUGGUGUAGCGGUGAAAUGCGCAGAUAUUGGGAGGAACACCAGUGGCGAAGGCGGCUACCUGGACCGGUUCUGACGCUGAGGCGCGAAAGCGUGGGUAGCAAACAGG
rnacentral:rRNA from 1 species